rnacentral:rRNA from 1 species
AGAGUUCGAUCCUGGCUUAGGAUGAACGCUAGCGGCAUGCUUAACACAUGCAAGUCAGGCGGGAAGUGGUGUUUCCAGUGGCGGGUGGGUGAGUAACGCAUAAGAACCGUCCCUUGGGGGGGAAAUAUCAACUGGAAACGACUGCUAAUACCCUGUAGGCUGAGGAGAAAAAGGAUGAAUACGCCUGAGGAGGGGUUCGCGUCGGAUUAGCUAGUUGGUGAGGCAAUAACUUACCAAGGUUAUGAUCAGUAGCUGGUCCGAGAGGAUGAUCAGCCACACUAGGACUAAGACACGGCCCAGACUCCUACGGGAGGCAGUAGUGGGGAAUUUUCCGCAAUGGGCGAAAGCUUGACGGAGCAAUGCCGCAUGGAGGUUGAAGGCCCACGGGUCGUAAACUUCUUUACUCAGAGAAGAAGCAUUGACGGUAUAUAUGGAAUAAGCAUCGGCUAACUCUAUGCCAGCAGCCGCAGUAAUAUAGAGGAUGCAUGCAUUAUCCGUAAUGAUUGGGCGUAAAGCGUCUGUAGGAAGCUUUUUAAGUCUGAAGUCAAAUCCCAGGGCUCAACCCUAGACAGGCGGUGGAAACUACCAAGUUGGAGUACGGUAGGGGAAUAGGGAAUUUCCGGUUGAGAGGUGAAAUUCGUAGAUAUCAGAAAGAACACCAACGACAAAAGCACUCUAUUGUGCUGAUACUGACACUCAGAGACGAAAGCUAGGGGGGCGAAUGGGAUUAGAUACCCCAGUAGUCCUAGCCAUAAACAAUGGAUACAAGGCGCUGUGCAUAUCGACCCGUGCAGUGUUAUAGCUAACACGUUAAGUAUCCCGCCUGGGGAGUACAUUCAAAAGAAUGAAACUCAAAGGAAGAAUUUGGAACCCUGAAUAGACUGUCGGUGAUUGGCCGGAGGAAGGUGAUGAUGAUGUAAAGUUAUCAUGCCCUGGGAGACACACGUGCUACAAUGGCCAGGACAAAGGGUCGCGAUCCCGCGAGGGUGAGCUAACCCCAAAAACCCGUCCUUAGUUCGGAUUGUAGGAUGCAACUCACCUUGACUUUGAUGUUAUCGAAUAUGUUUAGAAGUUGGAAUAAGUUCUUUAUGUCAUUUCAAACUUGUGUACAAAAUUUGAGGUCAUUCCGCAUAGGUUAGACGUGGUUCGACAUGAGUUUGGAAGUUGG